CCUACGGGCGGCAGCAGUGAGGAAUAUUGGUCAAUGGGCGGGAGCCUGAACCAGCCAAGUCGCGUGAGGGAAGACGGUCCUAUGGAUUGUAAACCUCUUUAGGCGGGGAGCAAUGCCGGGCACGCGUGCCCGGAGGGAGAGUACCCGCAGAAUAAGCAUCGGCUAACUCCGUGCCAGCAGCCGCGGUAAUACGGAGGCUGCGAGCGUUAUCCGGAUUGAUUGGGUUUAAAGGGUGCGUAGGCGGAUUUUUAAGCCAGCGGUAAAAUGUCCGGGCUCAACCCGGGCCGGCCGUUGAAACUGGGGAUCUUGAGUGGGCGAGAAGUAUGCGGAAUGCGUGGUGUAGCGGUGAAAUGCAUAGAUAUCACGCAGAACUCCGAUUGCGAAGGCAGCAUACCGGCGCCCAACUGACGCUCAGGCACGAAAGCGUGGGUAUCGAACAGGAUUAGAUACCCUGGUAGUC
rnacentral:rRNA from 1 species